CCUACGGGUGGCAGCAGUGAGGGAUAUUGGACAAUGGGGGAAACCCUGAACCAGCAACGCCGCGUGAGGGAAGACGGUUUUCGGAUUGUAAACUUCUGUUCUCUGUGAAGAUAAUGACGGUCGUAGAGGAGGAAGCUCCGGCUAACUACGUGCCAGCAGCCGCGGGCAUCCGUAGGGAGCAAGCGUUGUCCGGAUUUACUGGGUGUAAAGGGUGCGGAGGCGGCUUUGCAAGUCAGAAGUGAAAUCCAUGGGCUUAACCCAGGAACUGCUUUUGAAACUGCAGAGCUGGAGUGGAGUAGAGGUAGGCGGAAUUCCCGGUGUAGCAGUGAAAUGCGUAGAGAUCGGGAGGAACACCAGUGGCGAAGGCGGCCUACUGGGCUCGAACUGACGCUGAGGCACGAAAGCGUGGGUAGCAAACAGGAUUAGAUACCCUAGUAGUC
rnacentral:rRNA from 1 species